rnacentral:rRNA from 1 species
UGCUAGUCGAACGAGUUCAUACUCGUGGCAGAUAGCUCAGUAACACGUGGCCAAGCUACCCUUCAGUCGGCAAUACCCUCGGGAAACUGAGGCUAAUGGCCGAUGUGGGACGCCUGCUGGAAUGCGGCGUUCUCUAAAGAUUACGCUGAAGGAUGCGGCUGCGGCCGAUUAGGUUGACGGUGGGGUAACGGCCCACCGUGCCAGUAAUCGGUACGGGUGAUGAGAGUCAGAGCCCGGAGACGGAAUCUGAGACAAGAUUCCGGGCCCUACGGGGCGCAGCAGGCGCGAAACCUUUACACUGCACGAAAGUGCGAUAGGGGAAUCCCAAGUGCGAGGGCAUAUUAGCCCUCGCUUUUGUCGACUCUAAGGUGGUCGACGAAUAAGAGCUGGGCAAGACCGGUGCCAGCCGCCGCGGUAAUACCGGCAGCUCAAGUGAUGUCCAAUAUUAUUGGGCCUAAAGCGUCCGUAGCUGGCCGCGCAAGUCCGUCGGGAAAUCCACCUGCCCAACAGGUGGGCGUCCGGCGGAAACUGCGUGGCUUGGAACCGGAAGGUUCAGAGGGUACGUCCGGGGUAGGAGUGAAAUCCCGUAAUCCCGGACGGACCACCGAUGGCGAAAGCACUCUGAGAAGACGGCUUCGACAGUGAGGGACGAAGGCUAGGGUCUCAAACCGGAUUAGAUACCCGGGUAGUCCUAGCUGUAAACGAUGCUCGUUAGGUGUGGCACC